ACCUGUUUCCUCCUGAGGUCGCAGUUUCUGCUUUUCCCUUUUUUGUGCGUACACAUGGGUCAGAGCUUGCGUGGAGGUGCGCACAUUUUCCCGUCAAGUUCACGUUUUAUAAAUACCAAAGCUUGCGUAGAACGAGGCGUACGCAUUCUUUUGUGCGUACGCAUCGUUUAUAAAUGAAGCCCCAGAUCUGCAUGGCGCGUCAUAAUAGAUGAUUUGUCGCCACCUCAUUGGUCUAAAGCCGAGAGUAGAAUUCGGCGGGGUUGAAGCGUAGCUGCUCAGGCGAUGCCUGAAGUUAAAGUUUUAAUAUUUUAAUAUUUAUAGAGGACCCUUUCACAACAUGGCAAGUUCAAUGUCUGUUCAUUCGACGACGAAGACGAAGGUGACAACCGCGAUGGAGUUAUCUGACUCGAGAACGGACAAUUAUUAUUACAAGAAAAUGGAGCCCAUUUUCCGCUUUGAGAAGGACUCAACGUCAGAGUUGACCCCUCCAUAAAGGUAGUGGUCUCUGCCACUGCCCUGGUAAAGAACCCCGAACUGGUGCGCUCUGAGGCGAGGGCUAGAAGAAGGGAGGUGACCCCACCAACCACCGGCCUGCGAGCUGCAGCUCGGCCAGUACAGGGGUCAGACAUUCCAGUGGCUACUCGGCAACGACGUGGGAUACGCUGUGACCAUCAUUGUAUCCCACAAGGGAGAGGGAGAAGCAGCCAGGGACAAACCUGAAAACGUAUGUGCUGACCAGGGAUGUGGAGAAGGCAGCACAACCGCCCCUGGGCACUGUCGGUCCACCUGUUGACGAGGGUCCAUCGGAUGCCACUCUUCUCGCUGCCGCCAUGGAGGUCGACUCGUGCAGGCAUGCCCCACCAGCCGUGACCCCCUUCUCCCUCUCCCAACCACCAGAACGUCCCCUUCUGGACACACCAGCCUCUGGCGCUCAGAUUUUUUUUUCUAGCAAGACCACCCUUGUCAGUCACUCCGCAUUACUCCCGGCAGAGACAGGUGUCUUGUCCUACUUACACCCCACCUGUGGCCUGCACCUUGACGUGGUUGACAGGCCUAAAUGAACAGUGGACAGUGAGACGGUGCUAGACAGUGGUCUACCUUUGGACUUGCACCAACGAGACAUGGACACUGAAACUUGAUUUCUCU